rnacentral:rRNA from 1 species
GACGAACGCUGGCGGCGUGCUUAACACAUGCAAGUCGAACGGAAAGGCCCUUCGGGGUACUCGAGUGGCGAACGGGUGAGUAACACGUGGGUGAUCUGCCCUGCACUUUGGGAUAAGCCUGGGAAACUGGGUCUAAUACCGAAUAUGAUCAUCAGCUUCAUGGUUGGUGGUGGAAAGCUUUUGCGGUGUGGGAUGGGCCCGCGGCCUAUCAGCUUGUUGGUGGGGUAAUGGCCUACCAAGGCGACGACGGGUAGCCGGCCUGAGAGGGUGACCGGCCACACUGGGACUGAGAUACGGCCCAGACUCCUACGGGAGGCAGCAGUGGGGAAUAUUGCAGAAUGGGGGCAAGCCUGAUGCAGCGACGCCGCGUGAGGGAUGACGGCCUUCGGGUCGUAAACCUCUUUCAGCACAGACGAAGCGCAAGUGACGGUAUGUGCAGAAGAAGGACCGGCCAACUACGUGCCAGCCGCCGCCGUAA